rnacentral:lncRNA from 1 species
GGUUGUGGGGGCACGUGGGGAGCGGUUUGGGGUGAGAAUGGAGGAUGUGCGGUGGUGUUGGAGUGCACUGGUUGAUUUCUUCCUGGGAGGGGAUUGGGGUUCCCUUUGGCCCAAAGGUGGAGCCCUGAUCCAUAACCCCACGUGAGCCCCAAACGCCAUAUAACUCGGCGUGAGCCCAAGGCUCCCCAUGACCCAUAACCCUGUGAGCACCGUAAGCCCAUAUGAGGCUGAGGGCAGUGAUGGGUCUGUUACUGGCUAGGUCAGGAGGGUGGCUCUGGGGCCGCUGUAGUAUAGCACUCUACAUCUGCCCCUGACCCUCAUCUAGCCCACAUCUUGGGGGGUAAGAUGGGGGUGCAGGGGUUAGUGGAGGGCUAAGGAAGAGAUUCCAUGAGUAUGAACCAUAGCAUCCCCAGAGCCAUCCUAGAGCAGCGCCAUCACUGCCCGCGGCCCGUGGCCAGCAGCAGUUGUCCUGGUUGCUGUGGUGUUACUUCACUCUCCUCAGUGAGUUCCUUCUGCUCCCAUAGUUCUCCUCCUGUGGCACUCACUGCUCUCCUGUUCCCCCUUGGCUAAGGACUGCAGGCUCACAGUCUCCGCCACGCAUCCGCUGUGCAGUUUUUCCAGAGCAGGUCUAUGGCCAAGCUGCUCCUUUUGGGCUGAUUGUGUGCUUUUCUAUGCAGACAGGCAGGCAGGAUUUCUUGCAGCUGUCGUACGUGCUGGGUCUCAUGCUCCGUCCUGCACCUGUGCCUUAUCUCGUGUGCACUCUCCACCUCCCCCUGGUCAGUACAUCCUGGCCCUGCUGUGCUCUGCUCAGCAUCUGUCUGCUGAGCAACGACACAGCUGUCACACUGACCCUACCUUGUGCUAUCCCUGCAGAUGUUUGAUGAUUUCCUCUGCCACUCUCCCAGCCAUAACAGGUCGGGUGAUUUCCAGCAGCACACAGCUGGCACACCGAGCCACUCUGACCACGUACGGCAGCAGCCCGCCCCAUGGCUUCCUUGGGGCAGCCGUGGGGCUGUACCACCCUGAGGAGGCGAUGACUUUUCCCCACACACAGCUGGUUCUCUGGCCACACGGGGUGAGGAUGUGGGGUUGGGGGUCACAUGGCUGUCCUGCAGAGUCAGAGUGUUAUGGGGUUUUGUGGGGUUCUGGGUUAGAUGGGGUUCUGGGUUGCUGUGAUGAGGUCAGAUGAGAUGGUAGGGUCAGAUGGGGUGACAUGGAGUUCUGUGGUCACAUGUGUUUCUAUGGUCGAGUUGAGGUGGGGGCAGGGAUCCCAGAGUUCUGGGGCCACAUGGCAUCGGGUCGCAGCGUGAUGGGGGCAGGUAGGGUCAGGGAGUCACAGGGUCAUGUGGGGGUGUGGUUCACCCAGGGUUGUGGGUCACGUACAGCCAUGGGGUCACACACAUGAUGAGGUCAUCUUGGCUUAUGGCUCGUGUGGGGUUACGGCUUAGGGUCCCACCUUUGGGCUGCACGGACCCCCAGUCCCCUCUCAGGAAGAAAUGAAACCCCUCCUACACCGCUGUCCCCUUCCCCCCUUUUUUUUUUUUACCUCAAACUGCUCCCCACCUCCUCCCAUAGCACUCCAUACCCCCGCGUCCCUCUUGCAGCGCACAUCUUGUCUUCUCCUGAACAGCAUUCUGCUCCUGCAGGCUGUGUUGUCAUAUCCAUUCUAUAUCCCCCACACCCCCUCCCACAGAGCUACAUAGCUCCUCAAGUACUUUCUCUGACCGGGUACACCUCCCCCACCGCCAACCUGGGACCUCGCAGAGCCCCACAGUCCCCAGCAGCACCCCACGUCCCCCACGGUUCUUCAAGGAUCCCUCCGAUUUGAGGGAGGCUCAGACCUCCCUUUAUGCCUCAGACCCCUCCUGUGUUCUCCGACUCCCACAGUCCCUGACAAGACCCCCAUCACCAUCCCAGGACCCCCAUAGCCCACUGAUGAGGAACCUCGCAGCAAUCCACAUCUCAGGAUGGGGCUCCAGCUGUGCCCCAAUGCCUGCAUUAAAGACAGGAGAAUGAAUGAG